rnacentral:misc_RNA from 1 species
UUAGUGUAGCAAACUUGUCCUUUAACUCUGACAUGUGGUAUAUUAUAUACAUUAUCUGAAUGAAACAAUGCCCGCUCAAGGACCGAAAGGGAGAGGUCUAGUGAGUUUCCACCAUUAUUGUAGAGUUCGAGAUCCAGCGCCAGUAACUUUCCAGUACUUGUGAAUCCAACCUUAUACUUCCCAAGAAAACUAUGUCGCUGCCCGGUUAUCAUCAUGUCAAUGUCCCUAUCUAAUGUAAUUUUCACCGGUUUGUUCAAGAGAUACGAUG